rnacentral:tRNA from 1 species
AUGGGUGUGGUGAAGUCGGUAUCACGCUACAUUUGGGAUGUAGAGAUUUUCGCAGGUUCGAGUCCUGUCACCCAUA